rnacentral:RNase_P_RNA from 1 species
AAGGUUUGUCAGGCAAUCGCUCAAACGGGCAACCGAUUGAGAGGAAAGUCCGAACUCCAAAGAGAAAAGUGCUGGAUAACUUCCAGGAAGUGAAAGCUUACGGAUAGUGUCACAGAAAAUAUACCGUCUCGAUUGUAAAAUCGAGGUAAGGGUGAAAAGGUGCGGUAAGAGCGCACCGGUUGUGCAGUGAUGUGCAAUGCUCGAUAAACCCCACUUGGAGCAAGACCAUGUAAAUCCUGUUUGUUGGAAACAACAGAAGAGCUUCUCGCUCAACUAUCGAAAGAUAAACUUGAUGGGUAGGUCGCUGGAGCGUUUCAGUAAUGAAGCGCCAAGAGAAAUGAUUGCCUCUCUGCUUUUGCAGAUAGACAGAAUUCGGCUUAUCGAUAAACCUUCCAU